rnacentral:rRNA from 1 species
GACGAACGCUGGCGGCGUGCCUAAUACAUGCAAGUAGAACGCUGAAGAGAGGAGCUUGCUCUUCUUGGCUGAGCUGCGAACGGGCGAGUAACGCGUAGGUAACCUGCCUCGUAUUGGGGGAUAACUAUUGGAAACGAUAGCUAAUACCGCAUAACAAUGGAUGACACAUUUCAUUUAUUUGAAAGGGGCAAUUCCUCCACUACAAGAUGGAUCUGUGUUCUAUUAGCUAGUAGGUGAGGUAACGGCUCACCUAGCCGCCGAUACAUAGUCGCCCUGACAGGGUGGUCGGCCACACUGGGACUGAGGCACGGCCCAGACUCCUACGGAAGGAAGCUGUUGGCGAUUUUCGGACAUGGAACCAAGCCUGGCCGGGCACCGCCCGCUCUGGUGAGCGUGGUUUCGGUGCGGCAAGCUCUGUUGUUAGGCAAGAACGUGUAGGAGAGUGGCAAUUUCCUGCUCUGACGGUAGCUAACGAGGAAGGGACGGCUAACUACGUG